UAGAAAUUAGUUUAACAAAAAACACAGAGCCUUGAUCUCUACACUAUAAGUUUAAAUCUUAUAUUCCUAC
rnacentral:tRNA from 1 species